AAAAACAGCACCAAAAAAAGUCAUGUCACCUUUCCUGACCAGUGAUGCAGCUUCCAUUCUACCACAUUCCAUUCAUCAAGAAUGUGAUGGUUGGAGCUGUUGUAGCUGUAUUACAACCAGGAGGAAAGACUUUGCUGACGUACUAAGGAUGGAAACUAAAAAAAGUUCUUUAGAUCAAGAGGAACUACUUGAAGAGCAGCACUCAACAAAUCUGCACAUCGACCUGGUUUAAAUGCUAAGAUCCUGCCCUUGUAGAUUCGAUGCCAUAAUGAUGAGACUUUCACAAGGUCAAGGGAGAAGGUCCUCCAUGCAUCACUGCUGUCAGAGAGAUUCCAGCUCCUCUCCAAUGCUCAUCAAAGAUAUGAGAGAGAUGAAUGCAUAUAACAGAAGGAGUGUGGAUAACAGAUACCUAAGAGAGAAUGAGAAUUGGAAAAGACCGACUGAACAGACAAGGGAGCUAAAUACAGGCAUGGUGGUGCAACUGUAGUCCUAAAUGCCAGGGAGGUUGAGACAAGAGGAUCACUUGAACCCAGGAAUUUGAGGUACAA
rnacentral:lncRNA from 1 species